AAAUAAAAAAAAAAAGAAAAAAGAAAAAAAAGAAGAGUUGUUGAACACAAAAGGACAGAAAAGACCGAAGCUUUUCGUAGUGAUAACUGUUUAUAGACCAAUAAAAACACACUUUUAACAGUAAAAAUAUUAAAAAAACUUUCCCAUUUCGUGGAAAAGGAAACCAAGAAAAAGCCAGUCAAGCACUCUCUCUUUUCCUCUCUUUUCUUCUCCAAUCCCAUCCAAACGUUUUUUUCUGCAAAAAUCCAUCUCCAUUCACACACCUUUUUACAAUUUUCCCAGAAAAAAUUAUUGGGCAAGUAUUUUUAUAUAAAUCGUAUGUUGCACUUGUUUUUUUGUUGACCGGGAAAGUCUGUCUUUGUGGAAAAAAAAUCCAUCUCCAUUCACACACCUUUUUACAAUUUUCCCAGAAAAAAAUUAUUGGGCAAGUAUUUUUAUAUAAAUCGUAUGUUGCACUUGUUUUUUUGUUGACCGGGAAAGUCUGUCUUUGUGGAAAAAGAAGGAAGCUUUGCUGUGGAUUCAAGAACCCUUCUCCGGGAUCUUUGAUUCAUCUGUGUUUUCUGCAAGGGAAUUAUCUCAGGGCUUGGUGUUUACUAAAGCUGGGGUUUUGUGGAAUUUGGUAUUCUUGAGCUCUGAUUAGUGCCACAACAAUUUAUAUAAGCUACGAAGUGCCUUUGCUGAAAUUGGAAAGAAAAAAAAAGGGGUUUGAGAACGUGGCAUUAAUUAACAUCAAGUUAGUUUUGUUGCGUUGCAAGAUUCUCUACACAAAAAGAAUUCCCGUCGGGGAUGUUUCCUGGCCGACGAGCACACAGCUCCCCUGGAGGUUCGGCGCCAGUUGAGGGUUGCUGUCGGACUUCUGCUUUCCUGUCGGGCUUUGUCGGGCAAGUCUCGUCGGGCAAGACUCUUCGGGCAAGGAUGAAAGAGAAGGACAGCGUUAACUUUGAGAGGUGCCUUUGUGGGGCCUUAGGUGUAGGCCUUGAGGCUCACAAUCAAGGUUAACAUUUUAGUGCUCAGGCGUGCCACUGCCAUCUUCAGCAUGGCAGAUGUCGAAUGGAUGUCACGUUUUAGUUGUGAAUAUGCAUAUGCCCGAGAAACCGUGUUAGAUAUAACAGGUGCCUUUGUGGGGCCUUAGGUGUAGGUCUUGAGGCUUUCUGUCAAACUAAACCAGUACUUGAGCAUAUUAUAUUUGGUCUUUAUGGU